AGAAGAGGCUACGGAAGCUCAUCUGAUUCCAGAUAUGAUGAUGGAAGAGGGCCACCAGGAAACCCCCCGAGAAGAAUGGGUCGAAUUAAUCAUCUGCGUGGCCCUAAUCCUCCUCCAAUGGCCGGUGGAUGAGGAAGGUAAAUGUCUGCUCUAAGAAGCAGACAACUGGACAAGCACAUUCAUAGCAGAAGGAAACCAUCAAGAAAUGGAGUGUUGACCACACUGGACAAGUUAGAUGAAUGUGUACUCUAAACAAGGAUUGCUCUGUGUCCUCACAGAUGAAUGAGGUCGUGCUGGGAAUUCCCCCCCGCAGGGAUCUGGCAUGACUGAUAGGCAGUUCUAUAAAUGCACGUGUUUGUCUCAUCUUUUUUGUAUCGUUUAUGAAAGCAUUAAUAUAGUUUUAAUAAGUAAAUAUUUUUAGGUUACAAGACUGACUUCUCAUCUUUAUAUAAUUAAAACACAGAAGGCUCCAAAUUUGAAAAUAAAUGGCUGCAUAUUGAGUACUAUUAGUGUCACCUUUUUCAACUUCUGAAAUACUGUUCAUUGCUUUUGUUGUUCUUUAUAAAUAAAUCACAGUGUAUUUCAGUAGUAUGCAUAUGAUAUCUGUGCUCUUGAAUUAAUUUUUAUCUUAAAGCCUAUUUGUCCCAUGGAUCUUUAAUACAUGUGUCUUACUUGCUACCAGAUGUAAUUAUCAGGGUAUUUGUAAAGCCAUAACCAACAAGCCUGAGCUACAAAAUGUAGAUUUGCUAGGUGGUCUUUAAAAUCGAGGACUUCAAUGCUAUCUUUACCAAUUUUAAUUCUAAACCAUUGCUUAAGAUACUGCCUGUUGGCUUUAACCCCAUCUGAAUGCUGGUAACUCUCAUUCUUUCACUAGAAUGAAAGCUGUAUGAGGUUACGGAUUUUGUCUUCUUUACCCCAGUGCUUUGAAUAGUGACUACGUGUAAUAGGCACUGAAAUAUUUAUGGAAAAAAUGAAUAAUACAGAUAAUUCUACUUUGUGUUUAACAGUCUUUGAAACCAAAGUGUUCAGUAAAAUCACUUUUAUGUCCGUUUAUAAGUAUUUAUUCAACUCUGUUUGCCAGGAAAUGGGGAUGUAGUGGCAUUAAUAAACACUGGUCUGUAUGAAAACCAGACUACAGGCGGACAAGACUGGAAGCAGGGAGUUGGGUUUAGAGGAUGUUGUGGUGGUCCAGGUGAGAUCGGACCAGGUAGUGGCAGUAGGAGUGGAGAAGUGGAUGCAUUCAAGGCAUAUUUGAGGGACUGCGGGAUUUGCUGAUGGAUUUGGAUGUAGAAGAUGUGGACAAUUGAAGAAACAAGUGAAACAAGAUGGUGAAAAUGGGAGUAGAUUUUUGGGGGGGAGGCGGGGAUCGAGUUACAUUUUGGAUAUAUUUAAGUUUACAAUGCCUUGUAGACAUCUAAGUGGAGAUACUAAAUAAGCAGUUGGUUAUCAGGGCGAGAUCCAAACUGGAAAUACAUAUUUGGGAGUUAUCUUCAUAUUUAAAGCCAUGAAACUGGAUAAAGUCAUCCAAGGAGUGUGAAGAGAGAAGACCUAACUCCAGAGAAUCCUAACAUCAGAGGCCCGACUGAGCAUGGCCAGUGAAGUACGAGGAGAACUAGAAUUACGUAUGGUGUCUGAGAAGCCAGAAAAGACAGGUGUGAUGACGAAAUGAGACACCAGUUAUCAGCUGCUCCACAGCAAGCACGGAAAACAAAACACAAGUAGGUUGCGGGCAUGCUGCAGCCAGGACCAAUCACAGCAACAUCCAGCCAGUGCAGCCUCCCACCUUACCCUCCUCCGGGCAGCUCCGCCCUUCCGCUUUCCCGGAAUGCUCUGGGCCGACUCCCGGCGGCCAUCUUGGUUGUGGGCAGUCGGCCGAGAGGUUGCGCCUGUUCCGAGGCCUGUUCUCUUGGUGGUCGCGUUGCGUCGUUGAGGCUAGAGGCUGGAGGGGCGUCGGCGGCCGAGAUGACCCAGGCCGAGAAGGGGGACACGGAGAAUGGGAAAGAGAAGGGCGGGGAGAAGGAGAAGGAGCAGCGCGGCGUGAAGCGACCCAUCGUGCCCGCGCUAGUGCCGGAGUCGCUGCAGGAGCAAAUCCAGAGCAACUUCAUUGUUGUCAUACAUCCAGGUUCAACAACUCUGAGAAUCGGUCGAGCCACAGACACACUUCCUGCCAGCAUUCCUCAUGUUAUUGCACGAAGACACAAACAACAAGGGCAGCCCCUGUACAAAGACAACUGGCUCCUAAGGGAGGGACUAAAUAAACCUGAAAGUAAUGAACAAAGACAAAAUGGCCUUAAAAUGGUGGAUCAAGCAAUAUGGUCUAAAAAGAUGUCAAAUGGUACAAGACGGAUUCCUGUGUCCCCUGAGCAGGCACGUUCCUACAACAAGCAGAUGCGACCUGCGAUUUUAGAUCAUUGCUCCGGAAAUAAGUGGACAAACACAUCUCAUCACCCUGAAUUUUUGGUAGGAGAAGAGGCCCUGUAUGUUAAUCCUCUGGACUGUUACAAUAUUCACUGGCCUAUCAGAAGAGGUCAGUUAAAUAUUCACCCAGGACCUGGGGGCUCCCUUACAGCUGUUCUGGCAGAUAUUGAAGUAAUAUGGUCUCAUGCGAUACAAAAAUACUUGGAAAUCCCACUGAAAGAUUUAAAGUAUUAUAGAUGUAUCUUGUUAAUUCCUGAUAUCUAUAAUAAACAGCAUGUGAAAGAAUUAGUGAAUAUGAUCCUAAUGAAGAUGGGGUUUUCAGGGAUCGUGGUCCAUCAGGAGUCUGUGUGCGCCACCUAUGGCAGUGGUUUAAGCAGCACGUGUAUUGUAGAUGUUGGAGACCAAAAGACAAGCGUGUGCUGUGUGGAGGAUGGGGUCUCUCAUCGGAACACUCGGCUCUGUCUGGCAUAUGGUGGAUCUGAUGUGUCAAGAUGUUUUUACUGGCUGAUGCAGCGAGCUGGGUUCCCUUACAGAGAAUGCCAGUUAACAAAUAAAAUGGAUUGCCUUCUUCUGCAGCACCUUAAAGAAACUUUUUGUCAUUUAGAUCAGGACAUCUCUGGGCUUCAGGACCAUGAGUUUCAGAUUCGACAUCCAGAUUCCCCUGCCCUUCUUUACCAGUUUCGAUUAGGAGAUGAAAAACUCCAGGCUCCGAUGGCUUUGUUUUAUCCAGCAACUUUUGGAAUCGUUGGACAGAAAAUGACAACUUUGCAGCACAGGUCCCAGGGUGACCCUGAGGAUCCUCAUGAUGAACAUUACCUGCUGGCCACACAAAGCAAGCAAGAACAGUCUGCAAAAGCUACUGCUGACCGAAAGUCUGCAUCCAAACCCAUUGGAUUUGAGGGGGAUCUUCGUGGCCAGUCCUCUGAUCUUCCAGAAAGACUGCAUUCCCAGGAGGUGGACUUGGGAUCCUCCCAGGGAGACUGCUUGAUGGCUGGCAAUGAUUCUGAGGAAGCUCUCACUGCACUGAUGUCCCGGAAGACUGCCAUCUCGCUGUUUGAAGGGAAAGCCCUGGGCCUGGAUAAAGCCAUCCUCCAUAGCAUAGACUGUUGUUCGUCUGAUGAAGCCAAAAAGAAGAUGUACAGCUCCAUCCUGGUGGUGGGAGGUGGUUUGAUGUUUCAUAAAGCUCAAGAAUUUCUGCAGCACAGAAUUCUCAAUAAGAUGCCACCUUCAUUCAGGCGAAUUAUUGAAAAUGUGGAUGUGAUCACAAGGCCCAAGGACAUGGAUCCCCGGCUGAUCGCAUGGAAAGGAGGGGCAGUGUUGGCUUGUUUAGAUACGACACAGGAGUUGUGGAUUUAUCAGAGAGAAUGGCAGCGCUUUGGCGUUCGCAUGCUACGAGAGCGAGCUGCUUUUGUGUGGUGAAAUGGACAGAAAAGCCACUGUUGAAGACCAACACAUAACCUUGUGCACUUACAAGCACCGUGAAGACUGAUCAUGACAAACGGGCCUCUCAUUGCUGUGACCUCUCUUGCCGCGGAGCACAGGCUCCCUACGCGCAGGCUCAGCGGCCAUAGAUCACGGGCCCAGCCGCCCCGCGGCACGCAGGAUCUUCCCAGACCGGGGCACGAACCCAUGACCCUGCAUCGGCAGGCGGACCCCCAACCACUGCGCCACCAGGGAAGCCCUAGAUUCUGGUUUUUAUUUAAGUAAACCAGUGCAAUAAUUCAUUUAUAAAAAGACUAAUUACUUCAACAUAUGAAUUAUUUUUGUUUUGAACAUGGAAAGUUAUGUAAUAACCAUAAAACUCUGAAUUCUGACAGUGACUUCUAACAGGUAACUUUGGGCAAAAGUAGACAUCAGCUCUGCAAGUGAUGUAUUUUGUUGUUGAUGUUAAAAGUCACCUGUACAAGAGUCAGAUAGGACAUGAAUCUAGUUCUGAGAGGGAGGUCCUAUGCAAAUACCAAGUUUACAAGUGGUUCCACAUAAAGUAGGUCAUCUGGUCAGCAAAGACAGGUUCAGCUUGUUAUUCUCUAUUUUUGUUAUCUUAGAAAUAAGGACUUGUGUGUGUAAUAGAAGGUUUUUCACCUAAGAAGUUAUUGAGUGAAUUAGUGAGGACGCUUAGGUUUGGCAUUCAUUAAUUAAACUUAGAAAGUUAUAGAGCUAAACAAUUCUACCUACUCUGCAGAGCAUGGACUAUUCAAGACUGGAUAUUUGGCUGGGAGAUGCUUUAUCAUUGAUUAUCUGAAUGGUUAUAGUUUUGUAAGUGGUCUUUUUUUUUUUUUUUG